UGACUGGAUAUGCUCAGAGAUGACCUGGAA
rnacentral:piRNA from 1 species